rnacentral:rRNA from 1 species
CGGUAGCACAGAGAGCUUGCUCUCGGGUGACGAGUGGCGGACGGGUGAGUAAUGUCUGGGAAACUGCCUGAUGGAGGGGGAUAACUACUGGAAACGGUAGCUAAUACCGCAUAACGUCGCAAGACCAAAGAGGGGGACCUUCGGGCCUCUUGCCAUCAGAUGUGCCCAGAUGGGAUUAGCUAGUAGGUGGGGUAACGGCUCACCUAGGCGACGAUCCCUAGCUGGUCUGAGAGGAUGACCAGCCACACUGGAACUGAGACACGGUCCAGACUCCUACGGGAGGCAGCAGUGGGGAAUAUUGCACAAUGGGCGCAAGCCUGAUGCAGCCAUGCCGCGUGUAUGAAGAAGGCCUUCGGGUUGUAAAGUACUUUCAGCGGGGAGGAAGGUGUUGCGGUUAAUAACCGCAGCAAUUGACGUUACCCGCAGAAGAAGCACCGGCUAACUCCGUGCCAGCAGCCGCGGUAAUACGGAGGGUGCAAGCGUUAAUCGGAAUUACUGGGCGUAAAGCGCACGCAGGCGGUCUGUCAAGUCGGAUGUGAAAUCCCCGGGCUCAACCUGGGAACUGCAUUCGAAACUGGCAGGCUAGAGUCUUGUAGAGGGGGGUAGAAUUCCAGGUGUAGCGGUGAAAUGCGUAGAGAUCUGGAGGAAUACCGGUGGCGAAGGCGGCCC